CGUGUGUUCUUCCGAUUUAACUCAUCAGAUUCAGUAAUAGGUUCCUUCACAAAAUAUCUUGAAUGAUCGAGAAGAAGAAAAAGUUAUCACACAAUCGUCUAACUAGAUUCUAAAACUAGAAAUUUCUAUUCUCUUUUACAUUUCCCUUUACAUAUUAAAAAGCCCCAUCCUUGUAGCUAGUAGCUAGAUCGAUAAAGAAUCUUUGGAUCUCAAUCCAAUACAACAAUGAAUCAAAACUA